CUUGAGAGUAGCAUACAGGUAGUGUUCAGCGAAAUCGACCCGAACUACAGGCUGACGUCUCCCCACGCAAGAACCACAAGUACAGUGCUGCUCAAAGAACAGCACGAACACGCAGGCGCGUGCGUGGGCGAUCGGACACCAGGAAGGUCUGUGCACCGGCUCCACACGGGUGCGCAAAGCCCUGAGCAGCGCCGAGCACCGCGUCCCGGCUGCGGCCGCGCGCAGACACCACAGGGCCCCAACGGCAGCACACACGUGCGCCGUGCACGCCGCAGUCACCCAGCCCGCACACCACCGCCCGCAGAUCGCGCCGAUCGCAGCCGGGGUCACCCUUCCUCCGGGUCCGCAGCCCCUCGCCAGCGGCGGACAGGCGGAAGCAGGGAUUUUACAGCCGUCGUGCCUGCCAGCAACAGGGAACAGCAUUCCUCCAGUGAUCAGAGUCAACUUGGAUUCCCACAGCUCCUGCGUUCCAGACAGCUCUUCGUGUAUCUUGCACCACGUCCAGUCCCUUCCCAUCUCCCUGCCUUUGAUCUCUACUUAUGUUGAUACCUGAUCCUCUGUCACACAUCAUCUGACUCUUUGGAUCUACGUCCUGGCUGAAUGAUUUAAGCUUUUCUCUGUGCUCCUCUUAUUGUCUGACUAUGAAACAAACUUGGCCCUUCUUAGAACCAAGCCUUCAAAGAAUUUUUGCACAUACGUAUUUCAAAACAAGCAGCAUGAUUGUUUAAUGUGAGCAACCCCAGGGCCAGGUCCCAUUCACGCUUUUGUUAUAGAACUUGGCAGAUGACAAUAUAUAAUAGAUUCUCAGGGGCUGGGGAAGGAGCAAAAAUUAUUGGUUUGGCAACAAACUGGCAGAGAUCCACGUCCAUACAGUUUGGUCAGCCUAAGGCCAAUAGUAGUAUUUUUAUUGAUGCUUCUUACAAGCAUGAGUCAAGACCCUACUGUGGAUUAAUUUGAUGGAUGAGACAAAAACAAACAAUACUUGACCUCUGUCCUUGGUGAUUAAUUCUACUUUAGGUGUUUGUCGCCUGUCCUUUUCAACUAGAUUGUAAAUUCCUUGAAGGCAGGAAGCUUGUCUGUCUUGCUCGGUGCUGUUUUCCAAAAAACACAUAGGAUAGCGCCUGCACGUAAAUAGGUGCUCAGUAAACGGUUUUACAUUGCUUAAACCAGAGUAAUGGAGUGUGAUAAGUGCUGUACUAGCAGUGCGUUCUGAUGCUGUGACAGCAGAGAAUUGCCUCUGCCUUGGAGAUUGAGGUGAGUAUUCAGAGAAGGUUGCAUUUCAGCUUGAAGAGGGAGUUAGAACUUCAAGAAGUGGGAUGGAAAGAGAGGGAUAUUCCAGAAGGAGAACACCAUCAAUAUGGGUAUUAUAAAGAGCACAGUAUGCUUGGCGGAUAAUGAAAAGUUUAGUUUUUUGAAAGUUGAAACUGGAGAGUUGAAAGGCAAGUAAAUACCGGCUAACACCUUUAGGGAGUUUGUUGUUGUUCUGUUUUCUGGUUUUUUGUUUUGUUUUGUUUUCUGAGACAGGGUCUCAUGACGUAGUUCAGGCUGGCCUUGAACUCACUGAGUGGUUCAGGCUAGGCUGGAACUCACGGUGAUCCUCCUGCCUCAGCCUCUCAAGGGCUGGGGUUACAGGCCCCUGCUAUCACGCCAGGCCGGCUAAUGCUUUUAAUAAUGGUAAAAACUCAGAAACAUUAUAGCUUUGAAGUUACUUAUCAUGAAAGAGAGACACAGUAAAGGUUCACUAUGUAAGGAUUAUUAUAACUCAAUCUUUCAUAAAAACAAUAGU
ensembl:lincRNA